UGGCUGAGCGGCUAGAAUGAGUUCCAGCCAAUCAGAACGCUCUUGAGCCCAGGGCCUCAGGCUGGGCGGGAGGACGGUCCCUUGAGGGGGGAUGGUCCCCGCGGGAUGCCGCCGGCCCGUGUAGGCCCCAUUCCCAGAGGUGUGACUGAUUUGGUGGAUAGGAGGAAUGCAGGGAACAUAAUGUACCGGGACUUCAGCAAGGCUUUUGACCUGACACUGUGGGCAGAUCCUGACUCUGAUCUUCCGCUCUCACUCCAUGGGCUCAUUUCCAGCUGACCCCAGUGGAGAGUUCGGCAAACAGAGGAAGAGCAGAACAGCCAAGACAAGCUCCAUUGUGAGGAUCCAAGCAGGGAACGUUCCCCAGGAUUUGGGACCAGUUCCAUACCUGAGCCUGGGAUGCUGCUUUGAUGAGGCAAGACACAACAUGCCGGAGCAAGGGGAGUGCCGGGGUUUUCCACACAGACAAUCUGACAGAGACCGUGGGGCAAAGAGAUCUUUAUUUGUAAUAAAAUAACAAGUCCUUAUAAAUCACUCCUAGCCCUUUUUAAAAUAUUGCCAAGACAGUCCACUUUAAAACAUGCCCAUUCACCCUCAUGACAUGGUUAGGAUCCCACAAGUACACGAGACCAGCUUGCAUUGGUGGCAUAGACUGGGACAGAUGGCCCCCACCCCUAGAGGCAGCAGACUCUGCCCUUUGGUGAAUUCAGUUCCUUUGUCAGGAUGGGGAAUUCUCAGGUUGUUCUCCCCGCUGUAUCUCACCGCGACUCUGCCACGGUAUCUCACAGUUAUGUGCAUCUGCUCCCCUCCCCACACUGCAUGCCCACGUGCUGGCAAGGAAAGGGUGAAGGACACACAGGUGUCAUGAGCGCCCAAGCCAACCGCGAAGGGCUGCCCAGCUGCACCAGGGCUCUCCAUGCCUCGCUCACUCUUCUGGGAGAGGAGGAAUUCCAUGCCCCCACCCCUCAGAGAUCCUCGAUCAGGCUGGCCUGCC